AACGUAGUGUUAAGGCGCCCAAAAAACGCUCAUGAGACACCAUGAAAGGCUUUGGUCGCUCAUGAAAGCAGGACGGUGGCCAUGGAAGUCGUAAUCCGCUAAGGAGUGUGCAACGACUCACCUGCCGAAGCAACCAUCCCUGGAAAUGGAUGGCGCUGAUGCGUUUUGCCUAUAUACACUACCGGCUGCCGUCGGUGCAGAUCUUGGUAGUAG
rfam:Operophtera brumata OBRT01_Sc08609, whole genome shotgun sequence.